UUUUUUUUUUUUUUCCGCCUUUUGAUUUUGUUUUCAUGAUAUAUUUGAAAUAAUGUGUUAAAAAUUUAGGUUUUUGAUUCCUUAUAUUGUUGUUUAUUAGAAAAUAUAGUCAAUUAGAUGUAAUUUAUUCACUUGGAGGUGAAUUUUUGAGUUAAAAUCGCUUAUGUAAAACGACUCUGUGAAGAACAAUUUUCUUUUUUUUUUUUCUUUUUUUUUUUUUUUUUUU
rnacentral:lncRNA from 1 species